UUCCUAGGAGAGGGGUCGGUGCUAACUUCCUACAUUAAUACAGUAUUUUAAAAACAUUUUUUUCAUUCAGAAUUGAUUUCCCUGUCUGAUCUAACUGGUGGAGCUGACAGUUAAGUACUCCCGGACCAGCAAUGGAAUGAUUCUCAAUACCAACUCUGAUCUCCAGGAAUUUGACUAACCGCUUGAGGAACAGAACAAUAUUUCCUCCAGGCAGAAGACAAUUGGAAACCUGCAUCAAAAUGUUAUAUAACAGUUUGUACUUACCUGCUCACUGGAUAUUGGUGGGGAAUGAUGAGAGUAUUAAAAAUGCAAUUCAGCAUUA